GAACGCGUCUUAGAUUUUCUUAACAAGAACCCAAACCGACUGCCACCCUUCACUGAAUGCCUACGGUAUACCAGGCACUCAAGGGCCUCGACACACUGUGUAGUUGGAAGUGGCGCUCAUCGGACUUCCUUCCGUCCCAGGACCUGUGCGCGCCUUCCCCUGGGCCUCGUUCCCCAGCGCGGACUUCAGGAGCUUUGGUCCCUUCCCAAGUCCUUCAUCAUCAAGACUGAUUUCCUUUCACGGACAAAUCUGAAGGAACCCAACAGGUGCUGACCACAUGGAGCAGAAUUUGUCUCUGCAGGAUCUGGUGCCUGCUGAAAUUUUCCAUAAAUAUGCUGCUUGUGAAGCUAAUUAGAUCCUACUCUGAUGUGGUCUGAAGCUGGCCACAGGGCUGAUGCUGCAUGGAGGGGGAUGCUCCACCCAAGAAAAAUGGCGUCUGUGGUGUGGGAGAGGGCUCAACACAGCAAUCCUGAUGGCUGCCCCUUCACCUCUCUCUGCAGAGCCACAAACCUCCAUCUCUUCUCAGGAGACUCUACUCCAUUCCAUCAGAGUCCAGGACAUGCACCUGCAGAACUCUAAGGGUCCCCACUGGACUUGCAACCAGGGAGCAGUGGGCAGUAGCAGCUCAUCCAGGGCUAACCCCCUGAACCUGUCUCCAAGACUCCGUUUUCUCAGACUUCCCAGUGGACCAAUAGCAACCCCACCUUGGCUCACUUCUGUGGCUUCUUCUAUUGCUUCUUUUAUCCCAAGUCCUUCCAAAAAAAAAAACCACGUCAUAGACACAGACAACAACCUGUUGAUUAGCAGAGGGAAAUGGGGUGAGGGAGGCAGCAGAGGGUGGAGAGGGAAUGAAUGGCAACAG